CUAACUGCCGAAGGGCGGCGGAAAUGGAAUACUGCUAGUAAUGUUUUGUCGAUGCGCAUUUGUGGGGUUGGUUUUAGAGUUAUCGUAAGUUAAACCAUUGUCAGAUUCCGAAAAUGUUGGGGAAACGUAGAGAAAAGGAACACCUUUUCAAGUUCUCUGCGCCUCAUUAGGAUGAAGGGCAUCCGAUGGAUGAUGACCUUGGGAGGAAGUGAAAUGCAGCUAUAGGGUAUUAUUGUUAGUUACCUAGGCAGUGGCUUGAAAUUCUGGAAAGGAACUAUCUGAACUGCAUUCAUAUAUAUUUAUCAGCUGCGGACAUAGUUCGGCAGAGGCACAGUACAGGUGUUGCUCAUGCACUUGGACGUGGUUUUAUCCAAGGUUGAAUAUGGGUUUAAAAAUCUCAGCAACUGUAGAUCACGCAUCUAAACCACAACACCACAAAGCAUUAUUAAUACCUAUCGCUCUGGCCUAACAUAAUCCUAACCCAUAACUUAGGAUGGUGAGCGUGAAUCAGUACUAGUACUGUAUUGAGAAAGUUGGUGAUUGUUGUGGUGUGGGUGUGUUUUAGCCGGGGGCAGUAGGAGUUGAGCGUGGUUUCAAGUUGGGUCGACUUUCUAAAAACCACGUUCAAGUGUACUAGUGCCCUAUCAGGAUAUUUAUCUAUUUCUGUUAUUGAGUGCUCGUAACUAAAUACCCAGGUAAAGAAAUAGUUAUGGUCGCGCGACUGAUACUCUAUAUAUUUCUAUAUCUAUAUCUAUAUACUGUGCUAUGUGGAAGGGAACGAUUCUAGAGAAAAUAGGUCUUGUGGCCACCACCGCGGCAGGGGAGUUUUAAAACAUAAUUUUUUAAAUCUUGGCUGGAAAUGGGAUUCCUCAUCCAUCGAUUCCCUCCUCCUGUGUUUCCCUCCCGUGUGUUAGAGGGGGGAAUAUAUGCGGUCGACGAUACGAUGGGGAUGCUGGAACACUUUUUAUUUUGAUUUUAUUUUGAUUUUAUUUUGAUUUUUUGUUUUCGUUUUCUUUUUUCUUUUCUUUUCUUUUCUUUUUUUUUUUUUUGGCUGAAAAAUAGAACUUGAUAAUGAGCGAGGGGAUGGUGGAAAAGAAAAGAAAAAGUGACCUAGGGGACCUGAAAGUACACGUAGGUAACUUAUGUAGAGCUGCGGGUAGCGGACGCGUGAGUUGUUUGAUCUUGGCCCGUGCCAGUGAUGUCGAGGAUUCGAGCAGCACGGUAGGAAAGUAGGUAAAUGAAGCUGAAAAUUCGUGGCUAGAUAUGGGCGUCUUGUCUGCCUGCAUUAAAAGAAUUUUUGCUUGAUGGAUGUUUGAGAUUUACUUUUUUUCAGAGGCGGCUAGAUUUCAACAUGUGUGAAUGCACGCGUAUUGGACGUUUGGGUUGAGGCGGACCGUGCAGUUUUCUCUUCUCUUAUAUAGAGAUAUAUACAUGGACUCUUUAUUUUCAUCUUCCACGAUGAUGAUAAUGAUGAUGGGGAUAGAUACGGG
rnacentral:sRNA from 1 species